GCCAGUGUGGCGUCAUGGUUUGGGUGCUGGACUAUGACUCUGGAGACCAGGGCUCGAAUCCCUGCUUUACUA